GUGUCAGCAGCCGCGGUAAUACGGAGGGAGCUAGCGUUGUUCGGAAUUACUGGGCGUAAAGCGCACGUAGGCGGCUUUGUAAGUUAGAGGUGAAAGCCCGGAGCUCAACUCCGGAACUGCCUUUAAGACUGCAUCGCUUGAAUCCAGGAGAGGUGAGUGGAAUUCCGAGUGUAGAGGUGAAAUUCGUAGAUAUUCGGAAGAACACCAGUGGCGAAGGCGGCUCACUGGACUGGUAUUGACGCUGAGGUGCGAAAGCGUGGGGAGCAAACAGGAUUAGAUACCCUAGUAGUCC
rnacentral:rRNA from 1 species